UACGUAGGGGGCAAGCGUUGUCCGGAAUUAUUGGGCGUAAAGCGCGUGUAGGCGGCCAGCUAAGUCCGCUGUGAAAUCUCGAGGCUCAACUUCGAGCUGUCGGUGGAAACUGUCUGGCUAGAGUCCGGAAGAGGAGAAUGGAAUUCCUGGUGUAGCGGUGAAAUGCGCAGAUAUCAGGAAGAACACCCGUGGCGAAGGCGGUUCUCUGGGACGGUACUGACGCUGAGACGCGAAAGCGUGGGGAGCGAACAGG
rnacentral:rRNA from 1 species